UGUUGGGAGUUGUAGUCUGUCGGCGUGCCCCGUCCCAUCUCCUGAGCGAAGACCGCAAUGAAACAAAGCCCAGCCCAGGUUGGAGACCUGAAACAAUAGCCAGAACUUGAAAGUCAAGGGGAAGAGAUGCUGCUAGACCUGCUGAGCUUUUCCAGACUACACCCAGCGUUCUGAGGGUGAUAAGCCGAGGACACUGUGGAGGCAUGGGUAGUGAUGUUCCAGUAAUCACUGAAGUCACAGAGGAAUCCGGAGGACUGAAAAUGGCCAAUUGUUCUUCUAACAAAAUCAAAGUACUGGAGAUGCAAAAAUUUGAAACACAAACAAGGUGCUGGAGAAACUCAGCAGGAGUGGCACAUCUGUGGAGAGAGAAACAGAGUUAAACAUCUUCAUUCUAAUAUGACUUCUUCAGAAAGGAUAAUAUUCAAAUUCUGUAUCACCAAGCGACUGUUUAGAUACAAAAUGAUAAUUUCACAAAAUCAGUUGGCUACUGAAGGUUUCAACUGUCAGCCAACUACUCAUCCCUAGUACAACUAGGUAGGCAAAUAACCAAAUUGGGACUUCUGAAAUUUAACUUUUACGCCAAUGGAAAAAAUCAUGAAAAUGAAAUUAUUGUAAUAUAUUCCUUGUCACAAAUCAAAAGAAGCAUUGCUGAGUGAAAGGAUGCUCCACGGUUUUAAAAAAAAAACUCUGCUAUAAUUCUGAAAUGUUUGGUUUUUAAGGUUGCAUGCAAUUAUUGAUUGCUUGAUGCUUGUAUGAAUUGUUUAAAUUGUUCAGUAGUCAUUCUAUGAUUAGCAAACCUACAAUGCAAGUUUCACUUUUAAACUAACUACAAUCCAAGUUGACAAAUCACUGGAAUAUCUAUAUCCACACAGGAGUUAAAAAUGUACAAUAAUUCAGAAAAAGAAUGGAACAGAUCACAAAUAUUAUGGGACAAAGUUACAUAAGGUUUCACAACAGAGACAACAUUUUGGUUUUAAUGUAUUAAACUGGUAGUUCUGAACAAAGAUAACAGGAUGUUAAAAAAAAGUGUAGUAACAUCCUUAUGUAACUUUGUAGUUGCAUUUACAUUGUCAAAGAAAUAAAAGGUUUCAUUGGGCAA